rnacentral:rRNA from 1 species
UACGAGGGGUGCAAGUGUUGUUCGGAAUCACUGGGCGUAAAGGGAGCGUAGGCGGGAAACUAAGUCAGAUGUUUAAUUCCGAGGCCUAACCUCGGGUUUGCGUUUGAAACUGGUUUUCUUGAAUAGAAUAGAGGUAGAUGGAAUUCCCGGUGUAGCGGUGGAAUGCGUAGAUAUCGGGAGGAACACCAGUUGCGAAGGCGAUCUACUGGAUUCAUAUUGACGCUGAGGCUCGAAAGUGUGGGUAGCCAACAGG